GAUGUACUCCCUCCGUCCCAAAAUACUUGUCACCAAAAUGAAUAAAAAGAGAUGUAUCUAGAACUAAAAUACGUCUAGAUACAUCCUCUUUUAUCCAUUUUGAUGACAAGUAUUUCCGGACGGAGGGAGUACCAA
rfam:Triticum aestivum genome assembly, contig: Triticum_aestivum_CS42_TGACv1_scaffold_129668_2BL